AACGAACGCUGGCGGCAUGCCUAACACAUGCAAGUCGAACGAACCCUUCGGGGUGAGUGGCGCACGGGUGCGUAACGCGUGGGAACCUGCCCUUAGGUUCGGAAUAACAGUGAGAAAUCGCUGCUAAUACCGGAUAAUGUCUUCGGACCAAAGAUUUAUCGCCUUUUGGAUGGGCCCGCGUUGGAUUAGCUAGUUGGUGGGGUAAAGGCUCACCAAGGCGACGAUCCAUAGCUGGUCUUAGAGGAUGAUCAGUCAUACUGGGACUGAGACACGGCCCAGACUCCUACGGGAGGCAGCAGUGGGGAAUAUUGGACAAAUGGGCGGAAAGACCUGAUCCAGCAAUGCCGCGUGAGUGAUGAG
rnacentral:rRNA from 1 species